rnacentral:rRNA from 1 species
UACAGAGGUCUCGAGCGUUUGUUCGGAUUCAUUGGGCGUAAAGGGUGCGUAGGCGGCGGGGUAAGUCUGAUGUGAAAUCCCGGGGCUCAACCCUGGAACUGCAUUGGAUACUGCCUUGCUAGAGAGCUGGAGAGGAAACUGGAAUUUACGGUGUAGCAGUGAAAUGCGUAGAGAUCGUAAGGAAUACCAAGUGCGAAGGCAGGACUCUGGACAUUUUCUGACGCUGAGACACGAAGGCUAGGGGAGCAAACGGG